CUAAAGCUCAAGACUUAUAGUUCAGUUUGUGUGCAACAACUUGGGAGGGACAAAAGAGCAGGUCGCUGGUAGAUGACGGGGGAGCAAGCAAGGACUGAUGGGUGCAUCACUACACUGCUACCCGUUUCUCAACUUUUGCUUUACACGGCACUAUUUCAACAGAAUAUUGUAGGAAGGAUGGACUAUGAAGGGAAACACUGGUGUUCUAAUAUAGAUGUUCUGUGUUUGAGAUAUUGCCUUGGUAGCUGGAUGCCUUGGUGCAAGACAAUCAAGGUUGUUUGAUGCGUUCGUGCUCGUCGGCGGGACGGUGCAAGGCGCAACUCCGACGCGGUCCCUCGCCGGUUGGAUGGCGUUCAGGCGCAACCCCGGCGCGCACUAAGUACUGCCUCGGCUACAGCCUCCCUCUAUGAGCCAAGAUGAGUGCUCUACGCUUACUGCUCAUGCUAAUUGAACUGGUGAUGUUUCUUUCUUCACCUCGAUUGACGCAACAUGUUCCCCCUGAUGGGAAGGGAUAUGAGCUCAACAUGAACUGGACUAUAUUGUGAAGGCCUUUAACUCAUAAGUACAGAUUGUUUUUUCAUAGAAACACAAGCAGUAAAGAUUAUGUGAGGUACUUUAAUUGUAAGUGCAUGCUUACAGAGUUCUAUCAUGCACAAUCAUGUAUGCACACCGAUCUAUCCAAAAGAUUAGCUCGCGACCCUCUCUGCCCGCACCGCCGGUUCCCCGGGAGGCCGCAUCCGGCCUGCCACAAGUACACCUAUGUCGCGCCUCCUCGGGGGCCGCAAUUGGAAGUGGAUGACCAAGGAGAAGGCACGCGGCGGGGGCCAGGCGCUCAAGUGGGAGGCGGAGCUCGCCUCCCCCAACGACGACGACUUCAACCUCAAGUGGAAGUGAAAGGCCAAGUCCAAGCCCGGUGCCUUCGGUAAGGCCAAAACCAAGUGGGGCACCUAGGAAGCCAACAAAGAUGACAAGAAGAAGCCGACGAGGAAGUGCGUCAAGAGCAAGGAGAUCCCCGCUGGCUGCGACAUCCAGAUCGAGUCUGUUCUGUAGACACACAACAACUGCAACAUCCAUGAACUCCGGUGGAGUCCUCAACCAAGGUUCGCCAGUACCUGCGUCGUUUGCCUUGUCUCAAAAGAGGUUAUAUAAGCUACAUAUUUGUGUGUGCAUUUUCACUUCUCCUUUACCAGCCACAACUUUGUUUUAUAGUGCGCAACUAUCUGACGAGGGUUAAGUAACUGAGAAACUAAGCUUUGGGAGAUCCAAAAUCGUUUUAGAUGGUACAUCAUGAGAAUGAAAUUCAUGUUUUCCACCUUGAGGCUGUUACACGCGUACUGAUUUUUCUCUUUGUUGAGAAAAUAAAUUGUUUUGUCUUCCUAUGCAUAAAAAAAUAGUGAAUCUGAUGCUCCAUCAAGGUGGGCUGAAAGGAUUGAAAUUACUCAACUUAUUUUUUUAUUAUAUCUGAUUAUAGAUAUUUUAUAUAGUAUCAUAUACUGUUAAUAAACAAUUUUGCUUUUUGCUUGACUUUGAUGUGGUGGUGAUU